rnacentral:rRNA from 1 species
UACGUAGGGUGCGAGCGUUGUCCGGAAUUACUGGGCGUAAAGAGCUCGUAGGUGGUUUGUCGCGUUGUCCGUGAAAACUCACAGCUCAACUGUGGGCGUGCGGGCGAUACGGGCAGACUGGAGUACUGCAGGGGAGACUGGAAUUCCUGGUGUAGCGGUGGAAUGCGCAGAUAUCAGGAGGAACACCGGUGGCGAAGGCGGGUCUCUGGGCAGUAACUGACGCUGAAGAGCGAAAGCGUGGGGAGCGAACAGG